GCGAGACCGCGAGGUUUAGCUAAUCUCUUAAAGCCGUUCUCAGUUCGGAUUGUAGGCUGCAACUCGCCUACAUGAAGUCGGAAUCGCUAGUAAUCGCGAAUCAGCAUGUCGCGGUGAAUACGUUCCCGGGCCUUGUACACACCGCCCGUCACACCAUGAGAGUUUGUAACACCCAAAGCCGGUGGGGUAACCGCAAGGAGCCAGCCGUCUAAGGUGGGACAGAUGAUUGGGGUGAAGUCGUAACAAGGUAGCCGUAGGAGAACCUGCGGCUGGAUCACCUCCUUUCUAAGGAA
rnacentral:rRNA from 1 species